AGUCGAGGGGUAGAAGGAGCUUGCUCCUUUGAGACCGGCGCACGGGUGCGUAACGCGUAUGCAAUCUACCUUGUACAGGGGGAUAGCCCAGAGAAAUUUGGAUUAAUACCCCAUAGUAUUUUCAGAUGGCCUCAUUUGAUUAUUAAAGUUCCAACGGUACAAGAUGAGCAUGCGUCCCAUUAGCUAGUUGGUGUGGUAACGGCAUACCAAGGCAACGAUGGGUAGGGGUCCUGAGAGGGAGAUCCCCCACACUGGUACUGAGACACGGACCAGACUCCUACGGGAGGCAGCAGUGAGGAAUAUUGGUCAAUGGGCGCAAGCCUGAACCAGCCAUGCCGCGUGCAGGAUGACGGUCCUAUGGAUUGUAAACUGCUUUUGUACAGGAAGAAACCCUCCCUUGUAAGGGAGCUUGACGGUACUGUAAGAAUAAGGAUCGGCUAACUCCGUGCCAGCAGCCGCGGUAAUACGGAGGAUCCAAGCGUUAUCCGGAAUCAUUGGGUUUAAAGGGUCCGUAGGCGGUUUUAUAAGUCAGUGGUGAAAUCUGGUCGCUCAACGAUCAAACGGCCAUUGAUACUGUAAGACUUGAAUUACUUGGAAGUAACUAGAAUAUGUAGUGUAGCGGUGAAAUGCUUAGAGAUUACAUGGAAUACCGAUUGCGAAGGCAGGUUACUACGAGUAUAUUGACGCUGAUGG
rnacentral:rRNA from 1 species